rnacentral:rRNA from 1 species
GAUGAACGCUAGCGACAGGCUUAACACAUGCAAGUCGAGGGGCAGCGGGGCGGCAGGCUUGCCUGCCGUUGCCGGCGACCGGCGCACGGGUGAGUAACACGUAUGCAACCUGCCCGUGGCAGGGGGAUAAGCGGGGGAAACCCCGUCUAAUACCGCGUAACGCGGCCUAGGGACAUCCCAAGGCCGCCAAAGGGAGCAAUCCCGGCCACGGAUGGGCAUGCGGCGCAUUAGCUAGUCGGCGGGGUAACGGCCCACCGAGGCGACGAUGCGUAGGGGUUCUGAGAGGAAGGUCCCCCACACUGGUACUGAGACACGGACCAG